rnacentral:snoRNA from 1 species
AUUCCAUGACGAGGGUGUCUUUAUAAUAGUUCUUUGAAUAUUUCUCAUGCCUCAUACAAGGACUCGUCAUCCAUCUGUUGGAAGGUAUUGAUCUCAUUCUGCAACU